GGUAGUCCACGCCCUAAACGAUGUCAACUAGCUGUUGGGGCCUUCGGGCCUUGGUAGCGCAGCUAACGCGUGAAGUUGACCGCCUGGGGAGUACGGUCGCAAGAUUAAAACUCAAAGGAAUUGACGGGGACCCGCACAAGCGGUGGAUGAUGUGGAUUAAUUCGAUGCAACGCGAAAAACCUUACCUACCCUUGACAUGUCUGGAAUUCUGAAGAGAUUCGGAAGUGCUCGCAAGAGAACCGGAACACAGGUGCUGCAUGGCUGUCGUCAGCUCGUGUCGUGAGAUGUUGGGUUAAGUCCCGCAACGAGCGCAACCCUUGUCAUUAGUUGCUACGAAAGGGCACUCUAAUGAGACUGCCGGUGACAAACCGGAGGAAGGUGGGGAUGACGUCAAGUCCUCAUGGCCCUUAUGGGUAGGGCUUCACACGUCAUACAAUGGUCGGGACAGAGGGUCGCCAACCCGCGAGGGGGAGCCAAUCCCAGAAACCCGAUCGUAGUCCGGAUCGCAGUCUGCAACUCGACUGCGUGAAGUCGGAAUCGCUAGUAAUCGCGGAUCAGCAUGUCGCGGUGAAUACGUUCCCGGGUCUUGUACACACCGCCCGUCACACCAUGGGAGUGGGUUUUACCAGAAGUAGUUAGCCUAACCGCAAGGGGGGCGAUUACCACGGUAGGAUUCAUGACUGGGGUGAAGUCGUAACAAGGUAACC
rnacentral:rRNA from 1 species